rnacentral:lncRNA from 1 species
AUGAAGUCACCUGAAUCUCAAUUUAGAGAAUGUCUGGUGUUAAAUGAAGAUGUGUCGGAAAAAAGUGCGACAUAUCCCUAUGAUUUACACCUAACACCCUCCAAAAAUGUUGCGGAAUGUGCGAAUGACGUAGGCUCAUUAGACAUUAUCAAAUCUCUAAAAACAAGUACUCCAUCUUCAGUUUCGAAAAAUGUAUCUGUUUGCGCAUGUCCCUCUCAACGAGUAAUGGAAUUUGAAAUCGGAGAACAAUCAGUUGGCAUAUCUAUCUCUCAGCAGGAAAGCAUCGCUAAAGCUGCAGAGCAGCCAAUUUGUGAACCCGCCUCAGUCUUAGAAUCAUCCUCAAAGACAAAGCAGAGUGAAAUUUCCUUAUCAGAUACAGAUAGAGAACAAGACACAGAGCCAGAAAUUACAGAGCCAGAGAUUACAGAAAGAGAUACAGAGCCACUGUCUGAAACUCAGUCAAAGAUCAACGCACGUGAAGAAAUUCAGACAGAAACGCCUGCAUCAUCUCAACUUCAAUCAGAAAUCAUACUCAACGCGAACCCUGAGACAAUUGCCGUUUCUUUUGUUGACCACCUUGCGCAGCAAAAUCAUGAAAACUGCUCUGUUGAAAUUCAGAAUAAAGUCACCAGGGAAAGUGUUAGUGAACCAACAACCUCCAGGUCUCAAACAGAGCUGCUAUCUACAACCAAAACUGAUAUUAUUAGUAGGUUAAGACCUGACUUGCCUAACUCAAAUACUGAUUCCUCUUGUGUUGAAUCACCAAAGAAUCCUCCCUCAGACUUUCUGUCACAAAGUGACAUGCCCGUCGAAAGUGAAGCAUUGCAAACGAUUUUACCCAUUAUUACGAAUAAGGCUCAGCAAAUAGAAAAUUCUUGCCUAAAAGCAAACGUGCUUGCUGAAACUCAGCCAGAUCACCCAGCAACUCUCAGCAAAGUGAGUGAGACCAAAUUGAUCGCUUCAUCAGAAUCCAAAGUUUUAGUCGAAAGUCUGACCGAGGCUGCCCCACUAAAAUCGACUGCGGUUACAACUGCAUCAGAAGAGUCCUCAAGUAAUUUACAGCCACCUACAUCAGAAAACCUCAUCAAAUUUCAGCUUGAGUCCGCACCAUUAAUUAGUACUGAAACAAAUGAGACGUCAGCCGUUCAAUCCCAAUCGAGAGAAUCAUCACUUGAAGAAAUUUCAGACACUCCACCGGCCCAACCUGCCCAUAAGGUGAACAAUAGGACUUUGUCAAAGGAAAGUGUCGUUCUUCCUUCAGUCUUCCAGGAAAGUACCAUCGCUGCCUCUAAACAGUCGUCUAUCACCCAAGAUUGCCAUACUGUGCGUUUAGAGCCGAAACUGGGACUAAAUUCAGUGGCCAAGGAAGAAUUAAUGGAACCUCCUGUUGCAGGACCAUCAACAAUAUCGGCUCAUUUUGCAUCAAGUGCUGAGCUAGAAACUGCAGAAACUUUGCAACAACUUUUAAAUGCAACUGAACUGCAAGUUGGAAGUAUAGAAAUAGAUCAAUUUUCCAAGAAUGAGAACAAGAACCUAGACCCAGAAAACCAAACCACUAUGGAGCUAGGACCAGCCAUAAAUGAGCAGUCAUCCACAGAAGUUACUGGGCAUCUUGAGACGAUGGAAAAUGAUGCCAAUGUUGAAUUUGAACCUUUUCAGUCAAGUGUUACUGAGCCUGAAAACCCUCUGCAUUCCGCUAACAUCAAUUUAAAUCGCGCCUUAGUAGAAACUUCCUGUUGCGAUGCGAAUGUUGAUCAUUCAGAACACUCCUCCGCAGUUAUUAAAGAACCCUCGAGUGAAAGCACUGCAAACAUCUCAGAAAAUCAGCUGCCAUCGGUUAAUUCAGAUUCAGAGAGUGCGAAGACUAAGAACCUAUCGAUGGAAACUCCCAACUUUGAAGCUAGCACUGAUACUGAAGAAUUAUUUGUCAACAUUGAAGCAGAAAUUACGUGCAACAGUAUCACAAAAGCCUCUGAAAAUUCGGAACUCCUCACUACAAACCAUUCCAAAUUUGUCGAGCCUGAAUCCACAAAUAUGUUUGAAAAUCCUGUUUGUCUAUCUAGAACAAAAACUGAUGAGAAAUGCGGGAGUGCUCUAGAUGCUGAUAUUCGCGAAGAAACUGAUUUUCCAAAGCCAGAAACCAAAUCGGACACGGGUACUCCCACGGUAUCAAAUUUUGUUGAAAAUCCACGUGCUUCACCCGAAGAAACGCAGGAGUCGCUGAAGAGAACCGAGACGAUUGCAGAAACCAACACAUCCCAAAUCAACUCCCCAGCCAAUUCGCAAGACGAGUUUACAGCGCAUAAUGUGGAUGUUUCUGAAAAUACUUUCGUGAAGAAACUCAUUGCUCCAAGCAUUGAGAUGAAUGUCGAAGGAUCCCCUCCUUCAGUACAUGACGAUGCUGAACUUGCAUUUUCAGUUUCAGAUUCGGCUCAUCGAGAAGUGGAUCUUCAGUCUCCGAUCGUUGUGCAGAAAGAACAAGAUGCUUUUCAGAAAUCACAUAAUAAAAGUUCUGUCCCUGCUACAUGUUCAGAAUCAUUUAAAGAAAUUCCCGAUGAUCAAAAAAGCGAACUCUACUCUUCUUUAAGAUCUCCAUCAGAAUCACCGCGAGAAAAUUCUUUUAUCAGUUCUGACAGUCAAUUAAACCCGAGUGAAGAAUGCCCAAGUAUCCUCUCACAGACUGCCGGACAAUCAGAAUUAAAUGCGAAGACCAGCUCCAGCACUCCUCUCUAUGAUCCUGAAAUUGACACUGUCUCUUCAAAUAUCUCUACCGAGCAACGCUAUUCAAAUGUUGAAGAUCGUCCUCCCUUCAAUAUCUCAUUCGAUUCCUCUCAAGUCUCGUCGCAAGAGCCUCUUACCGCCUCUCAGCAGCUAGUCUCGGAAAGUUUACUUAAUGAAGCAGUUUUAGAAAAUGAGACUCUUCCUAAGGCUGUCAAAUCAGGCGAAAUGAUGACAGACUUUACUGCAGACUCGGUUACAAUACCUGAUGAGGAUGUGUCGAUAACCAGACCAUCGAGUGAUUCUAAAAUUGAGCCAUGUACAUCACUUAAUCACGGAGAGCAAUCCAAAAAUCUGACUUCUAGUCUAUUCGAUGUCCAAAUUGAAUCAGAAUCUGAGCUGAAUAUCCAUGCAGUUCCCAUUCAAGUCAAAACAGAGACUGAUUUAGAAAUAUCUGCGUCAGAAACAUCAUUUAAGUCAAAUGAUGAAUCAGAAACAUCAAUCGUUCUGAAUGAAGCUCGACAAGAAACUGAGAAGACUGUCACAACUAGCAAUGAUCGCAACUCUCCCAAUUCUGCAUCGAUUAUAUCUGAUGAUGCAAAUCAAUUUUCAUCAGAAGCAAGUACCAUUCUCUCUGAAGCUCUGAUCGAACAUAAAAAUGAAUCGGACGUUUCUGAGAAUUCAAGCAAUAUUUCAUCUUUUGAGAAUCAAGGAAAAAGUCCUUUCGUUGAAAUUCCGGUGUCAUCGAGAAUUGAAAUGGACAUUGCAGUAUUAGCGGAAGACACUCAGCUAGGAGGUCAAACUGCAUCAUCUCCCAUCGAAAGUUCAUUAAAUGUUGACCGUCAACCGAACAUCUCAGAAGUCCCUGCCAACAUUCAGUCGGAAAAUGAAACAGAAAGUUUGCCUUUUACAUCUCAAGUGGAAACCAGAUCUGAAUCAGCUUCUACAUUCAUAUCAGAUGAUCAUCAGUUGAUGAGGAACUCUGAGUCAACUAUCGGAAAUGUUCAAACCCUUUUCGAAAAAGAGCCGCAAUCAAGACCACAAAGUCCUCUUUCUGAAACUGAGGUAAAACUAGAAAGUGAACUGACAAUCAAUCUCAUUGCAAGUGAUCCUCCAAGGAAAAAUUCAUCACGAACUACCUCCACCGAAGUUCUGGUCCAAAUAGAGACCUCACCAAACUUAACUCAGCUUUCCAUUAAUGUCCCAUCAGAAGAACAGACCGAGAAGUCUUCCAAUGACGCUCGAGUUGAAUUACGAAGCGAAGUAGAGAUCUCAGAUACUGGUGUCAUCAAAGACGACUCUCGACAAAGCAAGGAAACACUUAUCACCACUGUGAUAGUUGCAGAAAGGAAAAAUAAUGAGACGGACAGCUUUGAAAGUUUAAGUAAGUCUGAGUCUGAAGAUUCAAUUAUUUCUAGCAACAUUGUAGCUGAAUGUUCAUCAAAAUGUUCUCUUGUUGAGGUUCCAAAUGAAACGGAAUCAGGAUUAUGUACCUCCAUGAUUUCUGCUCCCAUCCAGCCUGAAAGUAUCGAGCAAACCUGUCUUGCUGAAACUCAAGGGGAAUCAGACGGUGAAUUAGAUGUAUCGUCAGUUGAGAGUCAGAAUCCACUUGUGAAACAAGGGGAAAUCCCAUCUCGUAAAAUUAUUGACGAGCCAGUGUUAGGCAUGCUGCCGGACACAGUGCAGUCAGUAGGAAGUGAAGACUCGGGUGGAGAAAUAGGUAUACCUCCUACUAAACCACUAGGAUCCUUUGAAUCAGCCCCAACUAACAAUAUGAAAACAGGAGAACAAGUUGAAAUCUCCCUAACAGAAAAUUCUGCAUCAAAAAAGGGAAGGUCUAAGAUCGACUCAUCGGUUCUUAAUCAUGAUACAACAGACACAGACAAUGAUGUCCAAACGGAAUUUUCUCUGACGUUGGACUCUUCAGUAUUUGUCGCUGAAAGCUGUCAUGCCGACUCAUUAACAAUUGACCAAGAAGAGUCGAAAGAACCAGUCAAACCAUCGAGUGUGCCUGACGCUAAAGAAGCUGUGGAAGAAAGCUCUCAGAUAAUAUUAGCCCCAGAAGAUCUCCUAGAUUCGACACAACCAGCGAAUGUAUCCUCGAUGCCGGAUGAUAUAAUGUCAGCAGAAGAAAACACCGAAGUUCCAAUUAAUUCACUUCCAACUAACAAUUUGAAGACACAACCAUCAGUUGAAGUUUCUUCUGCUCACGAUGUUCUGCUAUCUUCAGAAAAAUCAUGUUCACUCAAAUUACCGACACUAAUUGAAAGCGAGAAGGAUCAGGUAGUGACGAAUUCAAUCAUACCAGAGGAUGAAUUAUCUGAGGAGAGUUUUUCUCUGAUUAGACCACAAGCAACUGAUAGAAUGAAGGUUGAUCAGCCAGUUGAAGAUAUUCCUGCACCAUGUGAUUCAGAAGUUGUGGAAUCGGGUUCUCAGAUCAUAUUGCAGUCGACAAAUAGUCCAAAGGCAGAGGAACCAAUCAGCAUCUUAUCCGCUCCACUUGCUUCAGCCUCUUUGGAUGGGAGCUCUCCUACAAAACGACAAUUCACUGAUGAGGUGGAGCCGAAGCAGUCUACCAAAAUAACUUCCCCAAAUACUUUAGCAGAGAUCGAAGUAAGCUCUAUAUCCAAACUAGCUGAAACCAGCGAAUUAAAAAGAGAUUUAUCGGCCGAAAGUAGUGAUGUGGCAGAAAAAUCUGUUGAAACUUCAUUCGUAUCGGUCAUCUUAAAGGCCGAGGAGAAAAAUUCUCUAGUCAACCGUAUGCCACCAGAUGUUUCAACAGAAAAAUGGCCCAUGCAUAAUUCUGAUGGAGCCGCGUCAGUGCUUUCUGAGGAUCAUAUCCCGACUGGAACAUCGGUAGUUGAUGAAGAAAAAGCAGAGCAAACAGUCAAAGUCUCCUGCCCUUCGGAUUCUUUCAACUACAAUAAACCAGCGGAAACCGCAUCAGACACUUCAGCUCCGGUAGAUGUUGGUGAGCAGUCAAAAACACUCCCAGCGGAUGGUGUUGAGACGAAACAGCCCGUUGAACUUCCACUAAUUUUAGACCCCGCAGCACUUCUCGCGGAAAGCAGCCAUGCCGACCUAUCGACAAUUAACAAAGAAGAGUCGAAAGAACCAGACAAACCAUCGGGUAUGUCUAGCGCUAAAAAAUCCUUAGAAGAAAGCGCUGAGAUAAUAUCGGCCUCAAAAGAUCUUAUAAAUUCUACACAACCGGCAAAUUCCUCCUCCAUGCCGGAUGAUAAAACAUCAUCAGAAGAAAACAGGGACGUUGAAUCACUACCAACUAAUGAUUUGAAGACACAACCCUCGGUUGAAAUGUCUUCUGCUCAUGAUGUCCCGAUAUCAUCAGAAAAAGCAUGUCCAAUCAAAUUACAGAAAUUAAUUGAAGGCUAUGUAAAUCAGCCUGUAAAUGAAUCAACCAUGCCAGAGGAUGAAACAUCUGUGGAUGAUGUUGCUUUGAUCAGACCACAGGCUACUGAUGGGAUGAAAAUUGACUCAGAAUUUGUAGAUUCAGGUUCUCGCAUCACAGGAAAGUUAACUGACAGUUUAGACGCCGGCAUAUCCACCAGCAUCUCAUCAUCUACACUUGCUUUGACAUCUUUCAAUAGAAGCUCACCAUCGAAACCACAACCCACUGAUGAAGUGGAGGUAGAUCAGUGCAUCAAAAUAUCUUCUGUCGACACUUCAAAGGAAGUUGAAGUAAGCUCGGUAACCAAACCAGCUGAAAUCUGUGAACUAAAAACAGAUCAAUUGGCUGAAAGUAGCGAUGUGAUGGCAGAAAAAUCUUUUGAUACUUCAUCUACAUCAGAUAUCUCAGUGACCGAGGAGAAAAACUCACAAAUAAACGUAAUAUUUCAGACCCCAUCUCAGUCAGCUGAUACCACCGGAGCUCGUCAACUUACCGAAUCUCUCUCCUCUCCAAUCUCCCCUACAUCUGCGCAGGAAGGCUCAUCGGCAGAACAGCCGAGGAACUUGCAUCAUCCCAUUAAAACACGUGAGACCAAUAGUUCAGAUACCUCCUGCUUAACAGUAAUGUCUAAUUUGGUUGCAGAAAAAUCGGAAAAAGUUUGGAAGAAACCUACACCGCUCUCUCCCGAUACAGAAAAUGCUACACCCACAAACGUUUUAAGUCUGAUGUAG